rnacentral:lncRNA from 1 species
AUUGAUAUCUAACUACACACUUCUCUUUGUUCCUAUCAAAACCUGGGGAAUUUGUGAAGUUGGUAAUCUCAGAGGUUAUUAAUAAGAUGAAGAAGAAUCGAUUAUGAUUCCUAUGCUUUUAUUGUACCUCCCGUUUCUUAUCAAACAUGGUAUAUACAAUCAAUUUCCAAUAUCAUCCUCCUCAUGCUUCAGUUCUUCCCUGCAGCAUGCUUCUCCUUAUUUUCUCCACAACCCUUCUUUUCUAUUGCCUUUUUAAAUCAGCUUAUGUCUAAAUAUUGUAUAAUUGUUAGUUUAUGUUCUUUUCAUUAAUGAUUUACUGUGUAUUGUUUCUCUAAUAGCUAAUUUUUCUUGCAGAUACGAAAUACAAUUCAUCGGGUACAAAGUCUUCAAGGUCCAUGAGUUACAUCUUUCUGGUUGUGGUUUUCAAACAUUUCAUUAAUUAAAUUAUAGAAAUCUUACUUCUCUAAUGAACUCUUUUUCUUGAAGGCCGGUUGACUUCUCCGAUGUUCCAUAUUCAUCUAAGGUAAUAUAAGCUUUAAUCAUAAGUGUUAAGUUUAUUUCUUAUAUAUGCAUGCUACAAUCUAUGUAAGUUGUAAACUUAUUAUUCAUUUUGAAGUAUGAAUUUUGACUUAUGAAUUCAGUUGCUUCUAACUAGAUCGAUGCAUUAUUUAUACUUGGAAUGAUGUUUUUUGUUAUUUGUUACCCGUCCAUGUAUAUAUAUAUAUAUAUAUAUAUUAAAAUUCUUAAUUAUUAUCAUCUUAAAUCCUAUUUUUUCUGUUUUAUAUGUAAAGAACGCGUUAUGCUAGUCAUCACGAAAGAUUGUAAAAUGAUUUUUGAAACAACAUUUGAAGCAAUGGAACAAACCGGAGGAAGAAUAAUGAAGUGAAUCCACAUCACUUUCCCGUUUUUCUUCUUUUUGUCAAAAGUCUCCUUUUGCUCAUAAAAGUCUGCCCUUCUUGUUUGGAUUUUGCUCAACUCCAAUAACAACGCCCAGAUAAAAGAAAUCUCAGCUGAAUUAGUGUUUAUCCGAAAAACGGAUAGAGUUAAAUUUGUACGUAGUUCUAAGGGUAUGUGGUAUAAUUUGACACAAAUCGUAAGAAUGAAUAGAAAUAUCGAAUGCUAACUGUAGAGAAUGAAAAAUAAGCAAAGUUGGAAAGAAGAUGAUUUAUAGAUUAGACAAGAUGAAUCAAUUUAUCAAGCUAGAAAAGUAUAACUCUUCAAUAUAGGGGUGUAUUAUAUCUCAAUUACAAUGUAUGUAAGACUUGAUCCUUACAGAAAUAAUAAUCAUCCCCUUUAUAGUGGAGAGAUCCUACUUUAGAUAUAAUUAAAAAUACAUAGUGGGAGACCCAUGAUAAAUCAGUUUUUCCAUAAUUCCUGCCAGGAUUCUCUCCUCUAGUGGGAUUGCAAUGGCUCCUGUCUAUGAGCUCGAUAUUGACUCGAGCUUGGUACCGACUCGAGCUCUCGAUCUUGACUCGAGCUCGAUUCUGACUCGGAUCCUUGUAUUGAUUCGGGGUCAGUGUUGGUCGGUCUCUGCCUCAUAAGCUCGAUAACUUCACUUUGCAUCAUAGUUCGAUUUGGAUUCGAGCUCGAUAAUAAUAUCGAGUUCGACAUUGAUCGGUCCCUAUGGCUCGAAGCUUGGUAACCUGACUUCGGACCUCAACCUAAUUAUGAAGAUGCUUCUCCGAUCCAAUGCAUUACCAUUUCGACCAGUUCGUACGAAGGACUAACGGUUUUUACCGUAUACACUUAGUUUAUGUUGGGCUGCGUUAUUGCUUUCCAAUUGUUUUGUUCCUUGUUAACCAGUUACAAAUACUAUCUUCACCAUACAUGUGGCCAAAGGAUAUGAUGUCUCCUUGUGCCUAUAUUUAAAGGAUACCUAGCACAUGUAUCCAUGGAGUGCAAUUUAUACCCCUGAAAUCUUAAUCUAAUGCACUUAUUCUUAAUUAUCAUAUUUUAUUUUGAUUAUUUUCUUUAUGUAUUUUUUGCUUUUUUCUCCUUUGGCUAUAAAUUUACGUUUUGCUUUCAGGAUGAAAUGAAAAGGUCUGGUUCCAUUAUUACAGUUGUAAUAUUCCUUUUCUUUUCUCUAUAGAGCAAUAAGCAUUUAAGGAAUAUGGGUUAGUUUUGUCUAACACUUGCUUGAGAUAAUUGUUUCCUUUUGAUAAUCGUUGUAGCUUAAGGUAAUGUUUGUUCAUUAUAUUUUUGUAAUUCAAUAGGACGAAACAUGAAGAAUAUAUUUAGACAAAAAUAAGGAGAAAAUAUGGAAGUUUUGUUUGUGAAGAAAUUCUAGCAAUCAAUUGCAUAUAUUAAUAUUUAUUAGAGAAUUAAAAGAGUGAAGAGAAUUGCUAACAAAAAGGAGAUAGUAAAAAAAAAAUCAUUUCCAACUACGGGGUUUAGAAUCAACAGCAAAGUUAGAAGCCUCACAUGCUACGCAAUAAAAUUAAAAAAUUUAUAUUGAAGUUGAAUGCAAAAUUGAGUACAUCAUACACUAGGUAAAGAUGAAAAGACUAACUAAUAGCUUGAAGUCAAGCUGAAUUAAUGUGAGAAAUUCUCUUACAUACAUUGUAAUUGAUAUUUUAUGUGAUUCGAUUUUAGUGAUAGUUUCACAUUUUAAUAUGUGACAAAAAAUAUAGUUUAUUCAAAAGUAGAGAAUUGCCAGCUUU